rnacentral:rRNA from 1 species
GACGAACGCUGGCGGCGUGCUUAACACAUGCAAGUCGAACGGAAAGGCCCUGCUUUUGUGGGGUGCUCGAGUGGCGAACGGGUGAGUAACACGUAAGUAACCUGCCCUUGACUUUGGGAUAACUUCAGGAAACUGGGGCUAAUACCGGAUAGGAGCUCCUGCUGCAUGGUUGGGGUUGGAAAGUUUCGGCGGUUGGGGAUGGACUCGCGGCUUAUCAGCUUGUUGGUGGGGUAGUGGCUUACCAAGGCUUUGACGGGUAGCCGGCCUGAGAGGGUGACCGGCCACAUUGGGACUGAGAUACGGCCCAGACUCCUACGGGAGGCAGCAGUGGGGAAUAUUGCACAAUGGGCGGAAGCCUGAUGCAGCAACGCCGCGUGCGGGAUGACGGCCUUCGGGUUGUAAACCGCUUUCGCCUGUGACGAAGCGUGAGUGACGGUAAUGGGUAAAGAAGCACCGGCUAACUACGUG